rnacentral:rRNA from 1 species
GAUGAACGCUGGCGGCGUGCCUAAUACAUGCAAGUCGAGCGAACGGACGAGAAGCUUGCUUCUCUGAUGUUAGCGGCGGACGGGUGAGUAACACGUGGAUAACCUACCUAUAAGACUGGGAUAACUUCGGGAAACCGGAGCUAAUACCGGAUAAUAUUUUGAACCGCAUGGUUCAAAAGUAAAAGACGGUCUUGCUGUCACUUAUAGCUGGAUCCGCGCUGCAUUAGCUAGUUGGUAAGGUAACGGCUUACCAAGGCAACGAUGCAUAGCCGACCUGAGAGGGUGAUCGGCCACACUGGAACUGAGACACGGUCCAGACUCCUACGGGAGGCAGCAGUAGGGAAUCUUCCGCAAUGGGCGAAAGCCUGACGGAGCAACGCCGCGUGAGUGAUGAAGGUCUUCGGAUCGUAAAACUCUGUUAUUAGGGAAGAACAUAUGUGUAAGUAACUGUGCACAUCUUGACGGUACCUAAUCAGAAAGCCACGGCUAACUACGUG